CCUACGGGAGGCAGCAGUGAGGAAUAUUGCACAAUGGGGGAAACCCUGAUGCAGCGACGCCGCGUGAGUGAGGAAGUAUUUCGGUAUGUAAAGCUCUAUCAGCAGGGAAGAAAAUGACGGUACCUGACUAAGAAGCCCCGGCUAACUACGUGCCAGCAGCCGCGGUAAUACGUAGGGGGCAAGCGUUAUCCGGAUUUACUGGGUGUAAAGGGAGCGUAGACGGUUAAUCAAGUCAGAAGUGAAAACCCGGGGCUCAACCUUGGGACUGCUUUUGAAACUGAGUAGCUAGAGUGCAGGAGAGGUAAGCGGAAUUCCUAGUGUAGCGGUGAAAUGCGUAGAUAUUAGGAGGAACACCAGUGGCGAAGGCGGCUUACUGGACUGUAACUGACGUUGAGGCUCGAAAGCGUGGGGAGCAAACAGGAUUAGAUACCCCUGUAGUC
rnacentral:rRNA from 1 species